UACAGCGGCGCGUGGCAAAGAUACUGCGAUGCGCCGCGUUACAUCGUAUCACAGUUCUUUGUCACCCUUUGCUUUACG
rfam:Ascaris suum AG00969, whole genome shotgun sequence.